rnacentral:rRNA from 1 species
UACGAAGGGGGGCUAGCGUUGCUCGGAAUCACUGGGCGUAAAGGGUGCGUAGGCGGGUCUUUAAGUCAGGGGUGAAAUCCUGGAGCUCAACUCCAGAACUGCCUUUGAUACUGGUGAGCUUGAGUCCGGAAGAGGUGAGUGGAACUGCGAGUGUAGAGGUGAAAUUCGUAGAUAUUCGCAAGAACACCAGUGGCGAAGGCGGCUCACUGGUCCGGUACUGACGCUGAGGUGCGAAAGCGUGGGGAGCGAACAGG